rnacentral:sRNA from 1 species
AAUCAAUUGGUCGCAGGUUCGAAUCCUGCACGACCCACCAAUUUAACAUCAAACUCAGAUGUUAAGCGUGAAGGAUAACGUUGCGUCAGCAACGGCCCGCAGGGCGAGCGAAGCGAGUCAUCCUGCACGACCCACCA